AUACGGAGGAUCCGAGCGUUAUCCGGAUUUAUUGGGUUUAAAGGGUGCGCAGGCGGCCAUUUAAGUCAGCGGUUAAAUCGUGGGGCUCAACCCCAUUCUGCCGUUGAUACUGGGUGGCUUGAUUGCGGUCGAGGUUGGCGGAAUUCGUUGUGUAGCGGUGAAAUGCAUAGAUAUGACGAAGAACACCGAUUGCGUAGGCAGCUGACCAGACCGCAAAUGACGCUCAUGCACGAAAGUGCGGGGACCGAACAGGAUUAGAUACCCUGGUAGUCCGCACAGUAAACGAUGAAUACUUGUUUUCGGCGAUAUAAUGUCGGAGGCAAAGCGAAAGCGAUAAGUAUUCCACCUGGGGAGUACGCCGGCAACGGUGAAACUCAAAUGAAUUGGCGGGG
rnacentral:rRNA from 1 species